rnacentral:rRNA from 1 species
CCCUUAGAGUUUGAUCCUGGCUCAGAUUGAACGCUGGCGGCAGGCCUAACACAUGCAAGUCGAGCGGUAGAGAGAAGCUUGCUUCUCUUGAGAGCGGCGGACGGGUGAGUAAUGCCUAGGAAUCUGCCUAGUGGUGGGGGAUAACGUUCGGAAACGGACGCUAAUACCGCAUACGUCCUACGGGAGAAAGCGGGGGACCUUCGGGCCUCGCGCCAUUAGAUGAGCCUAGGUCGGAUUAGCUAGUUGGUGAGGUAAUGGCUCACCAAGGCGACGAUCCGUAACUGGUCUGAGAGGAUGAUCAGUCACACUGGAACUGAGACACGGUCCAGACUCCUACGGGAGGCAGCAGUGGGGAAUAUUGGACAAUGGGCGAAAGCCUGAUCCAGCCAUGCCGCGUGUGUGAAGAAGGUCUUCGGAUUGUAAAGCACUUUAAGUUGGGAGGAAGGGUAGUAACUUAAUACGUUGCUACUUUGACGUUACCGACAGAAUAAGCACCGGCUAACUUCGUGCCAGCAGCCGCGGUAAUACGAAGGGUGCAAGCGUUAAUCGGAAUUACUGGGCGUAAAGCGCGCGUAGGUGGUUCAGUAAGUUGGAAGUGAAAUCCCCGGGCUCAACCUGGGAACUGCUUUCAAAACUGCUGAGCUAGAGUACGGUAGAGGGUGGUGGAAUUUCCUGUGUAGCGGUGAAAUGCGUAGAUAUAGGAAGGAACACCAGUGGCGAAGCGACCACCUGGACUGAUACUGACACUGAGUGCGAAGCGUGGGGA